GCGGCGCCAAAUCUGUGUCUUCCUCCUUUAACCAUUCUUCUUCAUUAGCUGUGCCCUCCUCCAUUAAUAACCACCACGGGUUUUGUGUCUCACAAGCACUAGACAGAGGGAAGGAAAAUGGUUGAUUUGGAUAUUCGGUAUGAGCGGUAUGAGCGGAAUCGGAAAUGGGAGUUUCACCUUCUAAGGGUUUACUGAAUCUGCUUCAGGCUUCGGGGUUGUUUUCUUAGAAAUGUUAUGUGGUCAAAAGCAAUAGACAUUUUCUGGCCAUCAGGAGAAGACAAUUUGGUUGAAUGGGCAAAGCCUUACCUGCCCAGCAAAGUUUAAAGUAUUAUAGACACCGGAGUUGAGAUCCCAAGUACAGACCAACCAUGGAAGAAGUCGUAGCUUCGCUAGAAGGGCUUCAGGAUUCUACAGGACCUACGUCUUCCAAACAUUCUCUCCGAAUACAGUGGGUUAAGCCAAAAAACAGUAAUGAGUUCUUUAAUUUUGAGGCGUACAAGUUGAAGAAGAAAAUGGAAACUUAAAGGCAGAAGUAUAAGAGUGCAGCAUUCCUGUCAUCCAAACCAUUUGUAAGUAUUAAAAAAUUUGCCCUCUUUACGGAAAAGAAUUAGUCGUGUAGUGUUGGGCAGCUAAUCAAUGCUAUGCGAAUGUUUUGCAACAAUCAAAAAAGCAAGUUAUUUGAGAUUUGGGUUUCAAAAAUAUGUUUUUUGACAUCUAGGUUUAGAAACACGCACGAAACCAUGUCCUGUAGGUGUCCAUAAUGUCAGAUUAGCAGUUUUUAAUCACGACUUUCCAAAACUAAUAUUCUCAAGUGUGAAGGAAUAUGUUUAAGUCUGGCUGAACUCUUGAAUUGCUUAAGGAUCACUUUGCAUGUAUGCGGACAUGUAGAAAAUGAUUUUCUAGUAAUGGAUGAUUAAGAACUUCAGCUAGAGAAUACUCCAAAUUGUUGCGACCAAAUUAUACUCUAUUCAGGAGGGCCCUAUCAAACAAUGCUGCAUCUGAGUUGUGUAGUAUUUGGAUUCAACUGGAUUUAUAACUAAAUUUGUUUACUUCGUUUGCGAGAUGCAUAUCAACAUGGACAUGCAACAAGAUACCAUACAGAUGAUUCUUCCUAAAAUUGCGACGCUGAAACGAAGCAAGUGACAUAAGGAGAUCACAUUUUAGCUGAAAAAGCUGAAGGACGGUGCUUCCAGUGCUGAAUUCUCUUGUGAAACUUAUUGUGUCUGCACUCUGCACCGACAAUAACGAUUUGAAGUAUUUUUGUUUUGCCCCAUCCUUCAAUUUCAUUUCAAGCUGGCUAAAUUUCCCAGUGACAUGGUUAACUGAUUACCAUAAUGACUUCUCUCCUCCCAUUAGUGAAUGACAAAUGAGCUAAAUGAACCUAUUUAGUGCUGCUCCAAAAGCAACCAAUAUGGUGAUCAUGGUAUGAAAAAAAGGUUGCAAGACCUCCAUUAUUACAGUUUUGGUAAGGAUUUUAGGAAAUUGUCUAGUAAAUAAUCUAGUAUUUCCUUUUAUUUUUCCUCUGGUACUGUAACGACAAUUGAAAUUCAACCCAGAAAGGGUAUGAGAAGCACAUGUCUAGUUUCUCCCUGUAAUUCUGCAACUACAAAGGAACGCUACCAGUGGAUGACAUCUCAACAAGGAUUGAGACCUUAACGUAUACCAUGUCCAGGACCACUGCAAAAUGCUAAUCUUUGUUUCAUAAAAUUCUGAAUUCCCACUGAUUGUUUCGUAAAAUUCAAGAUCAGCUUGAUGACCAUAUAAUGAGAUGUACAUACCUCAGAACAGUGAACUUUUGGUUUGAUGGGGUGCGUAUUUUAUUUUUUGCCUA